GAUGAACGCUAGCGGCACGCUUCAUACAUGCAAGUCGAGGGGCAGCAUAAAGUACUUGUACUUUGAUGGCGACCGGCGAACGGGUGCGUAACGCGUAUGCAACUUACCUUUUACUAGAGAAUAGCCAAGAGAAAUUUUGAUUAAUGCUCUAUACUCUUUUUAACUCACAUGAGAUUUUAAGAAAAGCUCCGGCGGUAAAAGAUGGGCAUGCGUCCUAUUAGCUUGUAGGUGAGGUAACGGCUCACCUAAGCUCCGAUAGGUAGGGGUCCUGAGAGGGAGAUCCCCCACACUGGUACUGAGACACGGACCAGACUUCUACGGAAGGCAGCAGUAAGGAAUAUUGGACAAUGGAGGAAACUCUGAUCCAGCGAUGCCGCGUGAAGGAAGACGGCCCUAUGGGUUGUAAACUUCUUUUAUACAGGAAGAAACCUUUCCACGUGUGGAAAGCUGACGGUACUGUAAGAAUAAGGAUCGGCUAACUCCGUGCCAGCAGCCGCGGUAAUACGGAGGAUCCAAGCGUUAUCCGGAAUUAUUGGGUUUAAAGGGUCCGCAGGCUGUUUGUUAAGUCAGGGGUGAAAUCCUACCGCUCAACGGUAGAACUGCCUUUGAUACUGGCAAACUUGAGUUAUUGUGAAGUAGUUAGAAUGUGUAGUGUAGCGGUGAAAUGCAUAGAUAUUACACAGAAUACCAAUUGCGAAGGCAGAUUACUAACAAUUAACUGACGCUGAGGGACGAAAGCGUGGGUAGCGAACAGGAUUAGAUACCCUGGUAGUCCACGCCGUAAACGAUGGUCACUAGCUGUUCGAUGUACAUUGGUACAUUGAGUGGCUAAGCGAAAGUGAUAAGUGACCCACCUGGGGAGUACGCUCGCAAGAGUGAAACUCAAAGGAAUCGACGGGGGCCCGCACAAGCGGUGGAGCAUGUGGUUUAAUUCGAUGAUACGCGAGGAACCUUACCAGGACUUAAAUGUAAGUUGCAUGAUUCAGAAAUGGAUCUUUCUUCGGACUACUUACAAGGUGCUGCAUGGUUGUCGUCAGCUCGUGCCGUGAGGUGUCAGGUUAAGUCCUAUAACGAGCGCAACCCCUAUCGUUAGUUGCCAUCAAGUAAAGCUGGGAACUCUAGCGAAACUGCCGGUGCAAACCGUGAGGAAGGUGGGGAUGACGUCAAAUCAUCACGGCCCUUACGUCCUGGGCCACACACGUGCUACAAUGGUCAGUACAGAAAGCAGCCACUAUGCGAAUAGGAGCUAAUCUUCAAAGCUGAUCUCAGUUCGGAUCGGAGUCUGCAACUCGACUCCGUGAAGCUGGAAUCGCUAGUAAUCGGAUAUCAGCCAUGAUCCGGUGAAAUACGUUCCCGGGCCU
rnacentral:rRNA from 1 species